CCUACGGGUGGCUGCAGUGGGGAAUAUUGGACAAUGGGCGAAAGCCUGAUCCAGCCAUGCCGCGUGUGUGAAGAAGGCCUUCGGGUUGUAAAGCACUUUCAGUGGGGAAGAAAGCCUUGGGGCUAAUACCCUCGAGGAAGGACAUCACCCACAGAAGAAGCACCGGCUAACUCCGUGCCAGCAGCCGCGGUAAUACGGAGGGUGCGAGCGUUAAUCGGAAUUACUGGGCGUAAAGCGCGCGUAGGCGGUCUGAUAAGCCGGUUGUGAAAGCCCCGGGCUCAACCUGGGAACGGCAUCCGGAACUGUCAGGCUAGAGUGCAGGAGAGGAAGGUAGAAUUCCCGGUGUAGCGAUGAAAUGCGUAGAGAUCGGGAGGAAUACCAGUGGCGAAGGCGGCCUUCUGGACUGACACUGACGCUGAGGUGCGAAAGCGUGGGUAGCAAACAGGAUUAGAUACCCCUGUAGUCC
rnacentral:rRNA from 1 species